AAAUCUAACAGUACAAUGUUGUCCCCGCCGAAAUCGAAUUCCCUAUGCCGUACGUUCCUAUUGAACAUCACGCGUCCACCUAAUGGCGGCCGUGUUUAUUUCUAUAAAACCGUAUCUACGGUUCGCUAUCAAAUUAAAUAAAACGUGCGCGGAAAAACGUCGAUAGCACGCUCAGUUAACAAAGGUAUCCGCUUACUCGCCCCUAAUAGAUUCUGCGAGGAAUAACGGGAAAUUUAAUGGUUGUAAAACGAUUGUAUGUGUGUCAAUUUUGUUAACCAGACAUGUUGCCAAUCAAAAAUGUUAUAAGAACAUUGUGGUAUCGUGUUAAAAUGAAAUGCACGAGAGCAGUGGUUUUU